CUCAACAAAGCUUUGCUUAAAUUGCAUAGACUUCUAUUGUGGAACUUAAGAAUUAAACGAUGCUCAUAAUAGCUUUAAUAAAUUGCGAAGACUACAUUUAUUAUGGAACUCUAAAAUUAAACAAUACUCAUCAAAGAUUUGCAAAAUUGCGUAGACUUCUAAUGUGGAACUCAAGAAUGAAAGAAUGCUCAUCAAAGGUUUGCUUAAAUUGCAUAGACUUUUAUUAUGGAACUCAAUAUAUAAACAAUACUCAUGAAAGCUUUGCUAAAUAGCGCAGACUACUUGUAAUGUGGAACUCAAGAAUUAAACAAUGCUCAUCAAAACCUUUGUAAAUUGCAUAGACUUCUAUUGUGGAACUCAAGAAUUAAACAAUGCUGACUAAAGCUUUGCUAAAUUGUGAAGACUACUUCUACUAUGGAGCUCAAGAAUUAACCAAUACACAUCAAAACUUUAAGUCUAAGUUGCAUAGACUUCUAAUGUCUAAAGAAUGAAACAACGUUCGUCAAAGCUUUGCUUAAAUUGCAUAGACUUCUAUUGUGGAACUCAAGAAUUUAACAAUGCUCAUCAAAUCUUAGCUAAAUUGUAAAGUCUACAUCUAUUGUGGAACGCAAGAAUUAAACAAUGCAAAUCAAAGCUUUGCUAAAUUGCAUAGACAUCUAAUGUGGAACUCAAGAAAGAAACAAUGCUCAACAACAGUUUCCUUAAAUUGCAUAGACUUCUAUUGUGGAACUUAAGAAUUAAACAUUGCUCAUCAAAGCUAUGCUAAAUUGCACAGACAACUUUUAUUGUGGAACUCAAGAAUUAAACAAUGCUCAUCAAUACUUUUAAAAAUUUCAUAGACUUCUAAUGUGGAACUCAAGAAUGAAACAAUGCUCAUCAAAGCUUUGCUUAAAUUGCUUAGACUUUUAUUAUGGUACUAAAGAAUUAAACAAUCCUCAUCAAACCAUUGCUAAAUUGGGAAGAUUACUUCUAUUGUGGAACUCUAGAAUUAAACAAUGCUCAUCAAAGCUUUGGUAAAUUGCAUAGACUUCUAAUGUGGAACUCAAGUAUCAAACAUUGCUCAUCAAAGCUUUGAUUAAAUUACAUAUACGAUUGUGGAACUCAAGAAUUAAACAAUGCUCAUCAAAGCUUUGCUAAAUUCCAAAGACUAUUUAUAUUAUGGAACUCAAGAAUUAAACAAUGCUCAUCAGUGCUUUGCAAAAUUGCAUAGACUUGCAACGUAGAGCCCAAGAAUGAAACAAUGCUCAACAAAGCUUUGCUUAAAUUGCAUAGACUUCUAUUGUAGAACUUAAGAAUUAAACGAUGCUCAUAAUAGCUUUAAUAAAUUGCGAAGACUACAUCUAUUAUGGAACUCUAAAAUUAAACAAUACUCAUCAAAGAUUUCCAAAAUUGCAUAGACUUCUAAUGUCGAACUCAAGAAUGAAAGAAUGCUCAUCAAAGGUUUGCUUAAAUUGCAUAGACUUUUAUUGUGGAACUCAAUAUAUAAACAAUACUCAUGAAAGCUUUGCUAAAUAGCGCAGACUACUUGUAAUGUGGAACUCAAGAAUUAAACAAUGCUCAUCAAAACCUUUGUAAAUUGCAUAGACUUCUAUUGUGGAACUCAAGAAUUAAACAAUGCUCAUAAAAGCUUUGCUAAACUUAAAACACCACAUCAAUUGUGGAACUCAAGAAUUAAACAAUGCUGAUUAAAGCUUUGCUAAAUUGCGAAGACUACUUCUACUAUGGAACUCAAGAAUUAACCAAUACACAUCAAAGCUUUGCUAAGUUGCAUAGAUUUCUAAUGUGGAACUAAAGAAUGAAACAAUGUUCGUCAAAGCUUUGCUUAAAUUGCAUAGACUUCUAUUGUGGAACUCAAGAAUUUAACAAUGCUCAUCAAAUCUUAGCUAAAUUGCAAAGUCUGCAUCUAUUGUGGAACUCAAGAAUUAAACAAUGCAAAUCAAAGCUUUGCUAAAUUGCAUAGACAUCUAAUGUGGAACUCAAGAAUGAAACAAUGCUCAACAAAGCUUUCCUUAAAUUGCAUAGACUUCUAUUGUGGAACUUAAGAAUUAAACAUUGCUCAUCAAAGCUUUGCUAAAUUGCGAAGACAACUUUUAUUGUGGAACUCAAGAAUUAAACAAUGCUCAUCAAUACUUUGAAAAUUUUCAUAGACUUCUAACGUGGAACUCAAGAAUGAAACAAUGCUUAUCAAAGCUUUGCUUAAAUUUCUUAGACUUCUAUUGUGGUACUAAAGAAUUAAACAAUCCUCAUCAAACCAUUGCUAAAUCGGGAAGAUAACUUCUAUUGUGGAACUCUAGAAUUAAACAAUGCUCAUUAAAGCUUUGCUAAAGUGCAUAGACUUCUAAUGUGGAACUCAAGUAUCAAACAAUUCUCAUCAAAGCUUUGCUUAAAUUGCAUAUACGAUUGUGGAACUCAAGAAUUAAACAAUGCUCAUCAAAGCUUUGCUAAAUUGCAAAGACUAUUUAUAUUAUGGAACUCAAGAAUUAAACAAUGAUCAUCCGUGCUUUGCAAAAUUGCAUAGACUUGCAACAUAGAGCCCAAGAAUGAAACAAUGCUCAACAAAGCUUUGCUUAAAUUGCAUAGACUUCUAUUGUGGAACUUAAGAAUUAAACGAUGCUCAUAAUAGCUUUAAUAAAUUGCGAAGACUACAUCUAUUAUGGAACUCUAAAAUUAAACAAUACUCAUCAAAGAUUUGCAAAAUUCCGUAGACUUCUAAUGUGGAACUCAAGAAUGAAAGAAUGCUCAUCAAAGGAUUGCUUAAAUUGCAUAGACUUUUAUUGUGGAACUCAAUAUAUAAACAAUACUCAUGAAAGCUUUGCUAAAUAGCGCAGACUACUUGUAAUGUGGAACUCAAGAAUUAAACAAUGCUCAUCAAAACCUUUGUAAAUUGCAUAGACUUCUAUUGUGGAACUCAAGAAUUAAACAAUGCUCAUAAAAGCUUUGCUAAACUUAAAACACCACAUCAAUUGUGGAACUCAAGAAUUAAACAAUGCUGAUUAAAGCUUUGCUGAAUUGCGAAGACUACUUCUACUAUGGAACUCAAGAAUCAACCAAUACACAUCAAAGCUUUGCUAAAUCGCAUAGACUUCUAAUGCGGAACUAAAGAAUGAAA
rnacentral:lncRNA from 1 species